AACUUUACCUGGGUUUGACAUGGAUUGGUAACGGUCAGAGAUGGCCGCCCCCCUUGUGGGCCGGUUCACAGGUGGUGCAUGGCUGUCGUCAGCUCGUGUCGUGAGAUGUUGGGUUAAGUCCCGCAACGAGCGCAACCCUCGUCCACUGUUUGCCAGCAUUUGGUUGGGGACUCAGUGGAGACCGCCGGGGUCAACUCGGAGGAAGGUGGGGAUGACGUCAAGUCAUCAUGCCCCUUAUGUCCAGGGCUUCACGCAUGCUACAAUGGCCGGUACAACGAGUGGCGACAUCGUGAGGUGGAGCGAAUCUCAGAAAGCCGGUCUCAGUUCGGAUUGGGGUCUGCAACUCGACCCCAUGAAGUCGGAGUCGCUAGUAAUCGCAGAUCAGCAACGCUGCGGUGAAUACGUUCCCGGGUCUUGUACACACCGCCU
rnacentral:rRNA from 1 species